rnacentral:rRNA from 1 species
AGUGAACGCUGGCGGUAGGCCUAACACAUGCAAGUCGAACGGCAGCACAGUAAGAGCUUGCUCUUACGGGUGGCGAGUGGCGGACGGGUGAGGAAUACAUCGGAAUCUACUUUUUCGUGGGGGAUAACGUAGGGAAACUUACGCUAAUACCGCAUACGACCUACGGGUGAAAGCAGGGGAUCUUCGGACCUUGCGCGAUUGAAUGAGCCGAUGUCGGAUUAGCUAGUUGGCGGGGUAAAGGCCCACCAAGGCGACGAUCCGUAGCUGAUCUGAGAGGAUGAUCAGCCACACUGGAACUGAGACACGGUCCAGACUCCUACGGGAGGCAGCAGUGGGGAAUAUUGGACAAUGGGCGCAAGCCUGAUCCAGCCAUACCGCGUGGGUGAAGAAGGCCUUCGGGUUGUAAAGCCCUUUUGUUGGGAAAGAAAAGCAGCAGGUUAAUACCCCGCUGUCCUGACGGUACCCAAAGAAUAAGCACCGGCUAACUUCGUG